GCCAGUAGAGGUGCUGCAUGGCUGUCGUCAGCUCGUGUCGUGAGAUGUUGGGUUAAGUCCCGCAACGAGCGCAACCCUUACCCUUAGUUGCCAGCGGGUAAUGCCGGGCACUCUAAGGGGACCGCCCCGGAUAACGGGGAGGAAGGCGGGGAUGACGUCAAGUCAGCAUGGCCCUUAUGUCCAGGGCUACACACGUGCUACAAUGGGCGAUACAGAGGGAAGCAAGGCCGCAAGGUAGAGCUAAUCCCUAAAGUCGUCCUCAGUUCGGAUUGCAGGCUGCAACUCGCCUGCAUGAAGUCGGAAUCGCUAGUAAUCGUGGAUCGGAAUGUCACGGUGAAUACGUUCCCGGGUCUC
rnacentral:rRNA from 1 species